rnacentral:rRNA from 1 species
CCUACGGGCGGCAGCAGAGGGGAAUAUUGCGCAAUGGGCGAAAGCCUGACGCAGCGACGCCGCGUGAGGGAUGAAGGUCUUCGGAUCGUAAACCUCUGUCAGCCGGGAAGAACGGUCACUGUGCUAAUCAGCAGUGAAUUGACGGUACCAGCAAAGGACGCACCGGCUAACUCCGUGACAGCAGCCACGGUAAUACGGAGGGUGCGAGCGUUAAUCGGAAUUACUGGGCGUAAAGCGCUCGUAGGCGGUAUGUCAAGUCAAGGGUGAAAUCCCCGCGAUCAACGUGGGAACUGCCUUUGAAACUGGCAAACUGGAGUGUGUGAGAGGAUAGUGGAAUUCCAGGUGUAGGAGUGAAAUCCGUAGAUAUC